GAACGGUGAUGGCAAAGUCAGCAUAGCCAUUUGGAACCAGGAAGUGUCGGGAAAAUUAUCCUAUAUGAGAAAACCCACAUGACGCUGCUCUCUUGCACUCAAAAAAUAAAGACAAAUGUCUAGACUCCCUGCCAAAAAGAGGUACCAGUUCUGUUCGCCGGGCUGCACAGCUGAAAAAAAAAAGAUUUCUCCAACUCAAGUUUAAGUACUUCCCCAACUGCAUGUCAUUAAAUGCUUAUAACAAGCUACUUCAGUCUGUUACCAAGAAAGCCCUGGAUGUUUUUUUUUUAGUUUUUUUUUUUAAGAGUGUACCUUAAAGGAAUAGUUCACCCAAAAAUGAAAAUUCUCUCAUCAUUCCUCAUGCCAUCUCAGACGUGUGACUUCUCAUGCUGCACACAAACGAAGAUUUUAUGAAGAAUUAGUAAAAAAGACUUAAAUAUUAAUCUGUUUCAAAUCCACACUUAUCAUAUAGCUUCUGAAUAUAUGGACUGAACCACUUGUAUGGUGUCUUUACGUGCAUUUUGGAGCUUCAGAAUAUUGGUGCGCAUUCACACGCAUUGAAUGGACAAACAGAGCAGAGAUAUUUAUCUCAAUCUUCUUUGUGUUCAGCAGAAGAAAGGAAGUCAUACACAUCUGGGAUGGCAUGAGGGUAUGUUAGUGAGAGAAUUAAAUCUUUUGGGUGAACUAUACCUUUAACAAUGACAUAUCAGAGAGUUAAUAUCAACACCCAUCUGAAGAAGCUGGAUGAAAAGGAGGACUUUUCCACAAUCUUCUUGGCAGCAGCAGGUCUUAAAAGAAUGGGCUGGGAGAACCGCAUUAGCCAGGUGCUUCCAUGUUACUUUAAUAAACUUUAUCCCUAAUGAGUAAAACACUCAAGAUUAUUGCAUCAUUUGAUUAAUAAGUGAGACAUAUAAUACUUUUUAAUGACAGUAAUAUAUUCAGGACACUUUUAACCAGCUGUGUUCAAUCAGACCAGGACUUUUCUUGCAUAUGAUCUCUUUAUCUCCUUGUUUCAGAUCCUCGGCCCUGAGGACUGCAUGUAUAUAGUCGGACAGGUGUGAAGCAUGUAAUGUCCUGCUA